CUAUUUUCAUUUUGGUGCGAUUAAAAUAACAAUUCACUCUUGAUAAACCACAAUUUAGUUAUAUUUUCAUUACUUUUGUUCACAUUCGAGGUGCCGCCAUCUUGGUGCACUCGUUUCGGCCUCCAUGAGCGAGAACCAAUCAGAAUUGGAUUUUUUUUAGGCCUCUUUCAGCCCUCUGCUGGUCAGCUGAUAAUCGAGUUGUCUUAACUCUGUGUUAUAAAGGGACUCUAGGGGGAGCCAGCCGCUCAACCCAACCUCGAAUUGCAUGGCAAAAACCGUACCCUCUUGACGUCACAGCGCUUCAAGAUGGCAGCGAAAAUCGAAAUGCGACCACCAUUCUUUAUCCGCCUUGCCAUUUACCAAUACCAUCUGACAUGCAUACGUGAGUGCCUGGUUUUUGUUUUGUUUUCGGUGAUCCAAUCGGCCACCGUUGGCUUGGCUAUAAUUUCUUAGGUUAUGUUAUUGUUUUGCCUUUAACGACAAGUCUUCAGGAGUUUUGAAUGCUGUCAGAAAAUUUUUUGAAUGCUUUUAGAAAUUGUUUUGAAUCAGCCUGAUUCUAACUAUGGCCGAGGACCCUGCAGUAGAAAAACUAAGUGCCGGUCUUCUGGAAUUAUAUCAAUCUCCACUUCAGAAAUUAAAAAUUGAACUUGAUGAACUGAACAAGAAACAAGGAAAUUUAUGCAGCCAACUUCAUGAUGAAAGUGUCAAGUUUCAUGGUUUAGAUCCUGGAGAGGAGCUCAAAAAACAGUAGGUUUCUUUCCUAUCUGUAUAUCAUUAGUAUCAUUAGUUCUAUCUUGUAUGCUUUUUUAUUUUUUCCCUCAUGAAUUAAAGACAAAGUUUAAAAAUCAUUCAUGUCCAGGUCCUAGGAGCUGUUUUCAAGGAUCCUAUCAGAAAAUUCAUAAGAUAGGUACUUGUGACAAAGGUAACUUAGAAUAAAAUUGGACUCUUGCACAUCAGUUGUAAGUAUAUGGAGAAAAAAUCACUCAAUAAAAAAUGGACUACUCUGCUCCGUAUGAAUUCAGUAGAGCCGGAUAGUUUAAUGCUCGACUAGUGGCGGGAUUGGAAGUGUGAGUUUCUAAAAACUUACGUAUUUAAUCUCGCUAUAAAUCCUAGGUUUAUGGCACCAAAAUGGUAAUAAAAUCAAUGGCAUCUCACAUCAAAAACCUGAACAUAAUUCAAGGAAAACGUAAAAAGCAUUUAUGAAGCAUGAAGGUAUCUAAACUGAAAGAAUUUUGAGAGGGUAUGCAAUGUUCAAAUUUCUUCCAUUCAUUUUGGAAAUAGUGAAAUGAAUAAUAUUUAUGCUUCAAGUUGUCAUAUACAUAGCAUCAGUUUGCUAUUGCAUCAAAUAAUAUUUUUGAAUAUCUCAUCUGAAAACUUUCUUGCAGUAGAGAGAUUUUCCUUGUCAAGUUAGAAAGUCUGUUCAUGCUGGUGUCAAUAGACCAGCAAAGUUUUUUUAUGUGAGAAAUGAUCCUAUUAGCUAUUAGCUCCAGUGGGCUUAGUCAAUUUUGUUUCAAAUCUCAUCAAAGCAAUGCAGUGUAUGAAGGUAGUAUAUGACUUUGAAGUAUUGAAAUGCAGUAUAGAUGUACAAUGAACGUAUCAUAUAUAAUAUAAUUUGUUUCAUGGGCCCAUUCUAGCAUUUGAGAAGAUAUUAUUUAUGAUUUGCAUAUGUUUAUUUUUCCAAAAUUUCAUGUAAAACAUGAUUUGUGCAACGAAAAUGAUCAACCAAGGGAUCAUCCUAACCAAGGUAUCAACGUUUUUUUAAUACAUACUUCAAAUCAGACUUUCCACUCAUUAAGAAGUCAAUAAUCUACUUAAGUUCAAUCCCACACCGAACGUUACCGAAACAGCCUCUGCAGUAUGAAAAGAUGGCAACCUCAAUCUGGAGGGUUCGGCUCAACCAUUGAUCAUUAUUUUUACUCACUUUAAACAAUACAGGGCAGGGAAGGAGCACUGACCAAUUAAAAAGCUUGUAAAAACAACUGUAGUGAAUGAAUUUUACUCACCCGUACUCUGAUUUUUCUUGCAAGGGAGAAAUUGAAAUUUUUCGUAACUAGUGCUAAAUAAAAACGUUAAUAUCUUGAUUAAAAGUUAAUCUCAGUAAUUUUUGCUGUGAGAUUGUUUCUACAUGAAUUUUAAAUUAAGAAACACACAUUCGAAUGCUUUAAUUCAUAUCUUAUUUAAUGAUCCGUACACUCCUCACAGUUCAAUUUUUACAAUUUCUCAGACAAGGGGGGCCCCUAGUUGGGGGUAGCCCUUCCUCUGAGGAUACCACUGCUACAGAACAUCUCGCUGAUAAGACCUUGUUACUCUGCUGAAAUAUG
rnacentral:lncRNA from 1 species